AGUCUCUGAAUGAAGAAUUUGAACAUAUCCAAUAUAGUGAUGUCUAAGAAAAAGCAGGUUCGACAGUGUGCAAAGGUGCUCCAUUUCAAGAUAUUGGAUCGGAAAUGCUUUAUAUUUCUUCUCUGUUAUGUAAUUUUAGUUGAUGUUUUGGAAAAGUUUCACCUGAUGGGUGCUACGGAAGACCCAUGUUCCAGAUUUAGGAAAUGGUUUUGCAUUGCUACUUCAGAUGGUGGCUUCACCAGGGAAAUCUGGUCGCUUUUGACACAUACUGGUUCAGUGUACAAGCUGCACCUUAUAUAUGUAUAUAUUAUCUUGCUUCUCUUCGUUCAGUCCGAAAGAAUAUUUUUCUUUUGAACUCAUUUUGGAAUGAUGACUAGGCCAGUUGUGUUCUUCACUUACCACCUGACACCACUUGGAAGGUAGAAUAUAUGUUCCUCAAUGAUGAGAUUGAUUGAAUUUCCUAGAUGUUGAAACUUCAAACCUGAAGUCAGGAGUGGUUUCCCUUGGUUCAAACCUUAAUAUUUUGUGUUGUGUUUCAGGCCUAUUUUUUCUACACUCCUUGAAUUUGGAAACUCCCCGUGAAUAUCAGAUGGAGUGGAGAUAUAAAAUGGAUCAAGGUUUUCUUUUUUCCCUUCCGCUGCAAAUGUUCGAGUGGACGUAUAUAGAUGCCAUCGGAAGCAUCUAUAUGGAAAGGUGUCCAAUAAGUUUCGGAAACGCAUUUUCUACUUAUCUUGGUUUUUUUUUUGUUUACGAAUACGAAAAUGCCCAUUAUAGAUAUUACAAAGCUUUAGGUGUAUCAUUUGAUAUAUUUUGUCUUUGCCUAUACAGCGGAAAGAAAGCAAUGCGAUAUGUUUUAGAUUUUAAAAAUGGGUAGAAAAGUAUGCAGCAAUAAUAUCAUGAUAUAAUCAGUAUGGCUGCAUGUAUUGCAUUUUAUUUAAUAUUAGGAUCUUUCGAUUUUCAUGCCAUAAUUUCAUAAUUCUGCGUUAAUAUAGUCACAAGGCAACAAUGCAUAGGUUAAUUACAUUUCCAGGUUUUAAUUUCCUAUAUGCUUAGGACCAUCUACCUUAGUUGUUUUGACAUUUCCAUGCUUCAUCAAUACAAUGUUUUGCAUACGAGAUUACUGAUACAUUAUUGUGGGGCAUUUUUUACUUUGGGAUUGUGUAUUGAUCCACCUUCUUUUAUGUAUGAUGGAUGUAUUGUUUCAUGA